AUAUAUAUAUUUUGCUCUUGGUAAAUAAGCACCCUCUCUUUUUCUCUCUCUUUAUGAGCUGCUCCUGCUUGACAGCACAACCUCAAUCACGUUCUUUCACUCUUCUUAAAGAAAUAAAGAUCGAACAAGAAAGAUCAAUGGAGCGAAUUAACUCACGUGGUCGAAGCUGACGAGGACUGCACUUCAAGCAAAGAACAAAUUAGGCUUUGUCGAUGGCACCAUCGAGGAAGCAGCCGCAGGAGACCGAAUAAGGACCAGUGGGGUAUUGUUAAUUCAAUGAUCGUCUCCUGGAUAUCGAAUACAUUGGAGAAGGAAUUGCGGCUGAGCAUCACCUGCACUGAAGAUGCCAAAACGCUUUGGGACGACUUACUCGCAUCUAUCGACUUAAGUCCGAAAAAUUGCCUUAUCAAGCAAGAAUGGAGGUUUGUUUCGGACUAUUAGUCACAGCUCUGAUACCAUCAAGAAUUUCGUAAUAGGAUUGUUUGUGGACAAAUAGUCCAUCUUCAACUUUGAAUCAGUGUACAUAUACAGACAGGUCGGCUACCAUAAUAAGGAAAGAUCAUCUAACUGUAUUUUAAUUGCAUUUUAACUUUCAUUACUCUACUUCAUUUUAACUGUAUUUAUUUUCAAUUUAAUAGUACAAUUAUUACUUUUUUCA